rnacentral:hammerhead_ribozyme from 1 species
AUCCAACAGACGAGUCCCAAACAGGACGAAACGCGCGUCCUGGAU